AGCAACGCUAUAUAGAUCUCCCAAGCAAGUUGAAUACCCAGGUGGUGGAGAAGGUUUUGUGUCCGGGCAAUAAGUUCCAUAACUGUUCUCUUGAGCCCCCGAUGCAGUUGUGGCAUAUAUGUUAAGAUCUUGUGGAACGUAUAUGUUGAGAUCUUCAGGCAGCAAGCCUUCAAAGAUGCUUCCACUUUCACAUGCUUCCAAAUAUAUAACCUACAAUAACUAG
rnacentral:lncRNA from 1 species